CGAGGGAAGCGGGAAGAGGUUCAAAUUUGAAAUCUCCCUAACGGGGCAAUUGUAGUUGAUAGAAACGUUUUCGGGGGGUAGGCUGGGCACAAGUUGCCUGGAAAGGCACAUCAUAGAGGGUGAGAAUCCCGUCUGUGGUCCAGCUCUGCUCCUAUGUGAUACGUUUUCUAAGAGUCGGGUUGUUUGGGAUUGCAGCCCUAAAUGGGUGGUAAAUACCAUCUAAAGCUAAAUACUAGCGAGAGACCGAUAGCGAACAAGUACCGUGAGGGAAAGAUGAAAAGAACUUUGAAAAGAGAGUUAAACAGUACGUGAAAUUGUCAGAAGGGAACGGCUUGAAACCAGUCUUGCGUCUGGAAUUCAGCCUCUCUAACGAGGGGUGCAAUUCGCUAGAUGCAGGUCAGCGUCAGUUUGAGGAGGGGGAAAAAGACUAGAGAAGGUAGCCUUCGGGUGUUAUAGCUCUUGUUUCUACCCCUCUUUGGACUGAGGGCCGCGGCGUGAUACGGGGUUGAUGGGUUCCGGUGACCUACUGGUAAACUGCAUGCAGAUUGCUGGCAAGGCUCGCUUGAUUCCCUUCAGCUCCACACGUCUAGGAUGCUGACGAAAUGGUCUCAAACCACCCGUCUUGAAACACGGACCAAGGAGUCUAACGUAUAUGCGAGUGUAUGGGUGUCAAACCCCUGCGCGUAAUGAAAGUGAAACUGGUGUGAACCUUCGGGUGCAACAUCGACCGGUCUGGAUUUUUUUGAUAGAUCUGAGUAAGAGCAUAUACGCUAGGACCCGAAAGAUGGUGAACUAUGCCUGAAUAGGGUGAAGCCAGAGGAAACUCUGGUGGAAAGCUCGUAGCGAUUCUGACGUGCAAAUCGAUCGUCAAAUUUGGGUAUAAGGGGCGAGAGAACUAAUCGAACCAUCUAAUAGCUGGUUCCCUCCGAA
rnacentral:rRNA from 1 species